rnacentral:rRNA from 1 species
CCUACGGGAGGCAGCAGUGAGGAAUAUUGGUCAAUGGGCGGGAGCCUGAACCAGCCAUGCCGCGUGAAGGCGAGUGCCUACACGCGUUAAACUUCUUUUGUGCGGGAGCGAUAACGUCCACGCGUGGCCCGAUGAGAGUACCGCCCGAAUACGCAUCGGCUAACUCCGUGCCAGCAGCCGCGGUAAUACGGGGGAUGCUAGCGUUAUCCGGAUGUAUUGGGGGUAAAGGGUGCGUAGGCGGCGCUGCAGGUCAGCGGUGAAAUACCGGGGCUCAACCCCGGGGGUGCCGUUGAAACCGGAGCGCUAGAAUGCGGAUGCCGUCGGAGGAAUGUGUGGUGUAGCGGUGAAAUGCAUAGAUAUCACACAGAACACCGAUUGCGAAGGCAUCUGACGAAGGGGAGAUUGACGCUGAUGCACGAAAGCGUGGGUAUCGAACAGGAUUAGAUACCCUAGUAGUC